AGUCUCCGUGGCAACCCGGCUCAGGGCACGGGGGAGGGGCUGGGGCGGGGCCUGCGCAGGGCUGACGGAAUCCCGGCUACCCUGCCCCAAAUCUGCAGAAGCCCCGCGUCCGGGUUACACUUUCCGCGGUAGGUCCCGCAGACCCGCUCUCCCUUCGCCUGGGGGCACGGGCGCGGUCACUUCCGUGCCUUUGCACCAGCUGCGCUCCCUCCGGUUGCUCCGGCCCCCAGACACCCACAGGGAUUUCUUUCUCACUUUCAAGCCUCUGCUCGAGUGGUUCGCCUUUUGAGACGCUCUCCUCAAUAGCACUUAUUUCCUUCUGGUAAACUGUAGGGUCAGCUCCACAGCAGAAGGGAUUUUUGUAUAUCGUCGCCGGCUGGACUCAGUGCCUGGCGCACAGGCAUCCCAUAAACCCUCGUGAAUAAAUGCAUACAGGAGACCCGAUUCUGGGUCGAAGGAGGACUGCCCUUCGUGCCUCAAUGUGACCCAAGGAGUAAGAGAGUCUGAGGACUGUUUCCGGGGCCUUGUUUCCAUGAUGCUCUGGGGUGAGAAAGGAGCAGGAAACCUACCCCAAAAACGUUAAUCAGUAGAAACUGCAUUAUCACCCAGCGCAGACCGGAACCAUUUCUGUUGGUUCCAGCCCAAUGAUGCAUUUAUGUCCAUCCACUCAACUCAACGAGUAUUCAUUGAGCACCUGCUGCGUGCGCGACCCUGUGCAGGAAUGCAGCCCGUGAAACGACAGAUUCAACAGUCACCCACAUUCAAACCAAGCCCCAGGACGCUGCAGCCCAAGAACCUGCGAAGCCAUACAGAGCAGUUACCCCCACAGCAGUCACAAUCCUAAUGCAGAAUUAAAGGGUCCCUCAUUCCACACCUGCUUGGGGAGUCCGUCAGGACUGAUGCCAGGACUAGCCCGGGAGGCCAGCAUGGGGCACAGUCACCUUGAUUCUCUCUCUACUGAUUGAUGCCUUUCGAGUGCUGCUAACUAUAUUCUAAAUAAUUUCAAACUUGCAGAAAUGUAUCAAGAAUAGCACAGAGAACCCUGCGUGCCCUUGACCCAGAUGCAUCCAUUAGUAGCAUUUUGCCACUUUUGUUGUCUCUCUGUGUUUCUGUGGAAUUUCAGGCAAGGUUGCUGUCCCCACACCCCUUUAUCCCAAACAUGCCCAGGUGUGUUCUCCAAAAGCGGGCCACUCUGUUACCUGAACCAGCAGCCCAUUUGCCAAGUGGGGUAGUUAGCGCCCGUGGACACCAAGCCACAGCUGCUUGGUAGCCUCAUCCAUGGCCGGUGCUCGUCCCUGUUGUGGUGCCUUCGUUCUGCAUCCUGUUAUCUCAUCAGUCCUCCCACUGGGACAUCCUUGGCCAUGACCUUGACACAGGGCGUUUGUGGCUUGGGUCAGGCCCACACAGUUCCAACCCCAGAAAACUGGGACCUGGGCAAACACAGAAGAUAAAUGAAACUAGGAAGGGACGUGGGGCAGCCCAUCCCUCACUGCCGUGCAAAUUGGGGAUGGGGAAGAGCGCUAAAGGGGACAGUAUGGCAGAGGGGUCCGAUGGCAGUUGCUUCUCACAUCUCAGGGAGACCAACCCCUUGGGGACCCUGCUGUGCUGAGCUGGCCAAUGAAAAAUAAAAAUAAGCACGGGCUGCCACUGACAUGCACCCACCGCACACCAUUCACUCCUCCCAGCCACCCCAGCAGAAAUAACCCCGGUUCUCCUCCAUUUCACCGAUGGGGAAACUGAGGCCCAGGGAGGAGACCGCUUGCGCAAGGUGGCCGCUUCAGGGCAUGACCAAGUCUGCCUCUUGGGAAAGGGGUUCCCUUCCCCUGUCACCCUGGCAGGGACGAGACCACCAUUCAUUCACUCACACGUGUUGGAGCAGAGGGACCGUGUGCCUGGGGCAAGGACUCAGCCAGGACACGUCCGCCGAGCCGGCCACCCACCCAGUAUCAAACACCGUGAUGGCCAGAAUAAGGGCUCCCAAACGCAUCUGACUGUAGCCCAGUGGGAGCCAUGUUAGACUCCUGCUCUCCAGAAAGUUCUGGAGGUCAGAAGUCUAACAUGGGUCUUGCUCAGCUAAAGCCAAGGUGUUAGCAGAGCAACAUUCCUGUCUGGAAGUUCCAGGGGAGAAUCUUAUCGUUUGCUCUUCCAGCUUGUAGAGGCCACCCACAUUC